rnacentral:rRNA from 1 species
CCUCAACUGACGCUAAAGCUCGAAAGUGCGGGUAUCGAACAGGAUUAGAUACCCUGGUAGUCCGCACGGUAAACGAUGGAUGCCCGCUGUUUGCGACACACUGUAAGCGGCCAAGAGAAAUCGUUAAGCAUCCCACCUGGGGAGUACGCCGGCAACGGUGAAACUCAAAGGAAUUGACGGGGGCCCGCACAAGCGGAGGAACAUGUGGUUUAAUUCGAUGAUACGCGAGAAACCUUACCCGGGCUUGAACUGCAGAGGAAUGCGGUGGAGACACCAAAGCCCUUCGGGGUCUCUGUGGAGGUGCUGCAUGGUUGUCGUCAGCUCGUGCCGUGAGGUGUCGGCUUAAGUGCCAUAACGAGCGCAACCCUUUUCUCUAGUUGCCAUCAGGUCGAGCUGGGCACUCUGGAGACACUGCCACCGUAAGGUGCGAGGAAGGUGGGGAUGACGUCAAAUCAGCACGGCCCUUACGUCCGGGGCUACACACGUGUUACAAUGGGUGGUACAGAGAGUGAGCGGCCGGCAACGUCCGCUAAAUCAUGAAAGCCAUCCUCAGUUCGGAUUGGGGUCUGCAACCCGACCCCAUGAAGCUGGAUUCGCUAG